rnacentral:rRNA from 1 species
AUUGAACGCUGGCGGCAGGCCUAACACAUGCAAGUCGAACGAGUGGCGGACGGGUGAGUAAUGUCUGGGAAACUGACUGAUGGAGGGGGAUAACUACUGGAAACGGUAGCUAAUACCGCAUACCAUCAGAUGUGCCCAGAUGGGAGUAGCUAGUUGGUGGGGUAACGGCUCACCAAGGCGACGAUCCCUAGCUGGUCUGAGAGGAUGACCAGCCACACUGGAUCUUAUACCCGGUCCAGACUCCUACGGGAGGCAGCAGUGGGGAAGAUUGCACAAUGGGCGCAAGCCUUAUGCAGCCAUGCCGCUUGUAUGAAGAAGGCAUUCGGGUUGUAAAGUACUUUCAGCGGGGAGGCGUUACCCGCAGAAUAAGCACCGGCUAACUCCGUGCCAGCCGCCGCGGUAAUUC